AUUGAACGCUGGCGGCAUGCCUUACACAUGCAAGUCGAACGGCAGCACGGGGGCAACCCUGGUGGCGAGUGGCGAACGGGUGAGUAAUACAUCGGAACGUGUCCUGUAGUGGGGGAUAGCCCGGCGAAAGCCGGAUUAAUACCGCAUACGAUCUACGGAGGAAAGCGGGGGAUCUUCGGACCUCGUGCUGCAGGGGCGGCCGAUGGCAGAUUAGCUAGGUGGUGGGGUAAAGGCCUACCAAGGCGACGAUCUGUAGCUGGUCUGAGAGGACGACCAGCCACACUGGGACUGAGACACGGCCCAGACUCCUACGGGAGGCAGCAGUGGGGAAUUUUGGACAAUGGGGGCAACCCUGAUCCAGCAAUGCCGCGUGUGUGAAGAAGGCCUUCGGGUCGUAAAGCACUUUUGUCCGGAAAGAAAACUUCGUCCCUAAUAUGGAUGGAGGAUGACGGUACCGGAAGAAUAAGCACCGGCUAACUACGUGCCAGCCGCCGCAGUAAAAC
rnacentral:rRNA from 1 species